rnacentral:lncRNA from 1 species
CCAAUUCAAUGUAGUCAAAAGUCAAUUGGGCUCACAAUCUAGAUGUACAACAUAUUGUUCCUACACAAAGUACAAUGUAAAAUGACGCCUAUCCACAAAUCAAACUCAAUACAGUUAAGUCUUAAUUCUUCAGCAUUAACACCUCAAGCACAAUAUUUCAAGAUUAAGAAACACAUCCAUAUGAUGACAUCGCGCAAACAGGAGAUAAACGCCCAUCACAAUUUGUCCGGAUCUUGGCUGUUAAAACAGAAAUGAAGACAUGAGCCAUUGGCACUCCGAAAGCUUCCAUAUAAAGAACAUAAACAUGAGCCAAAUGAAGGAAUUAAUGCUGAGUUUUCAAAAAUACAAUGAAUUGAUUUUUCUUUUAGAUUGCUUCUAGCAAGAACAUUUCAAUUGUAGAGAAAGCAUAGAGAAACAGUGCUAUUUCAAGGAUAGAACUACAUAACAAGUCAAGCAAGAUCUGGUUGAUAUGACACAUAUUAUCGAUUUUAGUAAUGUACUGCCAGAAAGAAGUAAACCUGACAUAGUGUGCAAGUUACCAGCUAUAACAGAGACAUAAAAUGUGGCAAUGCAGCCCUAACAAACAUAUUUUUCUGUGAGACACAUGUUUAGUAGGAACAAUAGUAGGAAAAUGAGGGUUUGUUUCAGAAGAGCUAUAUACCAAAUUAUGGUCUGAAAAUAAGCUCAACAACCCUUCCAUUUAUUUUUGGGUUAAAGGGAGCUUUAUUGCAUCAAAUCAGUGUUCUAGUUACAAUCAUCCAACAUACUAAAAGAAAUAAAGGUGGAGCCUGGCCAAGCUGAACUUCAGAAAGAUUGUCCACCUGUGCAACCCUGUUUUGUUCGCUUUGAAUUUUCACAAAACGGUGAUCGUCCAGAAAAUUGCGCACGGUGCAGACUUCUCCAUGCAAUUUUAGCACUACAUCUUAUAAAAAUCAAAGUAAUGUCAGGAAUAGCAAAUAUGUACUUCUAAUAAAUUCAUAAAAUUCGAAAGAAUAUCACAUAAGUUUUCUUGGAAUUCAUACCAGAAGCGAUGGAGAAGAAAGAGUCUUGAGUAUGAUUGGGAACUUACAGGAGAAACGGUGGACAGAGGGUGGGCCACACGCCAACAGGAGCUGUGCUAUCUCUUUUUCCUGCAAAAAGAUGACAGUUUUGUUAAUGUUUUGGUUGUAAAUUAUGGGAUAAUCUAAGCAUACCGAGUUGCUGAACUAUGCCGUAUCUGGCAAGGGCCGCAAUCUGACGGGGGCCCAGCAGCCCAGCCCUGUAUUCUUCUCUGUAUUUUCACAGCAAAAACUGGAGCAGGACAAACCUUUACAGCUACAUAUCAGACUACACCUGCACAAAACAAUCAAUGCAAGCUAAAUCAAAACAUAAUAGGAGUCCUACAAGUACAUUUUGGGCAUCCCUCGCCAAAGUUGUACCCAAUAUGCGCCACCAAUGACUACAUCUUACUCAGCGGGGGUGAAGAAUUAGCAUAAAUUAAUUGACACACUUUUCAGAUUGUGACAUGAGAUCCUUAUGUACCCAAGACUGAAAACAACCAGAAAAAACUUUCAAGAAGCAACAAUAGUAUUUUUGUUCGGUGAAACGUUAGUUAGUACUAAGAACAAAAAGUCAUCAUUGUCAUUGUUUGUCUAGAACAUCAGUACAUAGAAGCUUGUUAAUCUGAAGAUUGUAUGCUGAACUCACCGAUUGCAAGGAAGAGGGAGUCGGACACGGAUGGCUUGUUGAAGGCAUGGAUGCGGGAAGCUGAUGGUGCCGGUCUGCCGGACACCGAUGCCCAAAUCAUAGUAUACGUGGGUCUCGAUUCUUGAACACCUCCGCGCAGUCGAGGAGCCCCGGUGUUCGGCCAAGCGCGGAAGCUCUUGCGUGUGAUGAAAUAGUCGCCCAGCUGCGGGGAAGAUCUAUUAUUCUUGAUGCUACUUUGGUUCUCCGGCCCCACGCAUCCAGCAGGUCGGCUGUUUCAUCAUCUCCUCCCUUCACGUGCUCCCGUGCACUGCGUUUUGAUUUUCGGCCGAAAAAAAUGAAUUUCGGCCGAAUUUCGGCCGUCUCGCUAGGGCCCGAUAUAUGGGCCUAUCGGCCGAAUAAUUUGGCCCAGUUUGAAUUUUUUUUGCCCGGCCCAGCUUCGAGAGCCUUCCAGUUAGGCUUCCGCUGAGACAAAACCACGAACCCACGCUACCUAACCCUAAAUCGCUCUUUCCCUGUCCGUCCUCCUGUGUGCGGCGCCGCCGCUGCGCACAUCUCAGGCGAGUGCUUCCAACCAUCUCCUUGCCCUCCUCCACAUCUCCGGCCAAGGCGCUCACUUCUCCGACCCUCCUCCACAUCUCCUCGCCUCCACCCAUCCACUUCCUGUCCUUUGUUUCUCCAAGACUGCAGUAUGGUGCUCGGCGGCUGCGACAACGGAGCUGAUGGUGCGCCAGCCGACCAGUUGAACGGAGGCAGUAGCAAGGGGCAGCGGCAACAGCCUAGAGGGCGGAGGUUGAUUGGCAAGGUACGAAUUUUCUUGAUGCCUUUAUAUCCUCCUACUUAAGCAACAAUUUGUCUCAUCCCUGGUACUUGCAUGCAGUUUUAAUUCUUCAACAAUUUCAGAUCGAUGUUACUUUGUUUCUUAGUUAUAAUCUGUACUGCGAUGUACUUGUGUUCCUUUAGAUUAAGGAGAGCCCCCUGGUAAAUGGCUUGGCAAAUGCAUAUAUCAUACGGGGGUAAGAAAAGUUGAGUCUUGUUAAGUUGAACACAGUAGUGUAAUUAUUAAUCUGAAAUAUACAUGUAUCUUGUAGUCACCAUGGAUGCUCUAGAUCUGGUAAUAUUCGUUUUGGUCCAACAGAAAAGUGGAUUACAAACCUUGUUAUGAACAUCCUAAAAUAUAUAAUUGUUCCAUAUAUUUGUGCAGUGUGCUUAUUUUUGAGCUGUUGAGAUCAUGCUUGUGCGCAACAUUAUUUUUUUUCUCAAGAACAGUUUAAUUUCAACAGAAAAGUAGAUGUUGACCGAUGAUUAAUUUCAAUCUUCAGCGGUACCAUUAAGUGGUGGUUCUAGAACUAAGCAUCAUUCUAUCUUUCUCAAGAACAGAUUACAGUUUGUGACUUGUAUGUUUGGCAAACUAGAGCAUCGAGUUGUAUAUAAAUUACUUACUUCCUUAGUAUCUAAACUAGAGCAUCGGGUUGUAUAAUUUUUUGUUUAUUAUUAAUAUGAGGACAACCUAGUAAGCAUUUCUUCCUUAGUUACCUAAUCUUCAUAACUGACCGGUGUUCUUUUGUCAUUUGAUUUUCAGGUAAUGGAACUGCAAAUAGGAGUGGCAGCGGCAACCAUGAUGCAAGUGCAAGUGGUUCCCAAAUAUCUUGGAAAACUAUUUGGUAUUUGUUCGUAAAUUGGUUGAAGUUUUUUGGUGUGAGUAGACAUAACAGUGCAUUGCGCUGUUCAUGUAGUGAGAUGAGGAUGAUCACAAUUCAGAGUAUUUGGAUCUAUCCGUCAUAUUUCUAUAUGGUAAGGCAUAUAUCUCGAUCUUAUUGGUGCACAUUUCUAGAGUAUUUGCUUGGUAUGCAGCCAGAUUACUAUGCUUUGCUUGUUCACACGAUGCAAAUUGAAUAUUGUUAUUGAUUUGCUAGGUUCAAUUAAAGUGAGAGUGAGGAUAAUGAUGGGGUGAGUGAGGACAAGGAAGAUGAUCCAUCAAUGCAAGAUCAGCAAGAGGCACAAAUGCAAGUGGAAAAAGAGACGCAAAUUCAAGUGGAAAUGGACGCACCACCAAACGAUGGCAAUUUGGAGACCCGUAGAUCUGUACGGCUUGUCAAGAAGAAGACCAAGGACGUCAACAGCAUAUACUUGUUGCUUAGAAAUCUGCGGGUAAGUCUCUUUUUAGUGUUUUAUCAUUCAUGAUAAUUGCUUAGAAUAUUUUAGUGACUUGGAGCUGCUAGUUACUUAGAUGUAUGCACUUUCUAUCUAUGCCUAGCCUCAUUGACAUGUUAAGCGAUGUAUUUAUAUUAUCCUGAAAUGUUACCACUUGACUAUUGUUGCACUAGACACUUCCCUGUUAGUCCUACAUGCAUCCUGAUCCUUUCUCUGUUUUCUCUGAACCAGAAAUGCCACAUGGAGAACUAAGGAUAUCAAGAAGCUUUUGGAUGUAUGCAAGCUUGGAGCUGCUGUUUUAUAGGUAUGUUAACCACUAUAUUUAUCCUUCAAUAUUUUUGAGCUUAUGCAUGAUUUUUGAUUCACAUUUUUCACCAUAGAUUUUCCUUCCGUAUGACAAUUGACAAAUGUCUAGUCCAAGCCAACAGCAGGUUGUUUGUGUCUAUGUUGCUUUCUUUGUAUCCUUACGAGUUUUGUUGUGCCGGAGUACAAACUAUAAAUUAGAAUUCAUCAUUCUAGUAUAUGGAGGCAUUUAACCUUUGCUCCUGAAGCUUUUUUGUGAAUAAAAAACUAUAUUGCUGCAGUAGAUUUGUUAUUUGAUUCAUGAGCAUGCAUGACAUUUGACUAUUGUUCUACUAGCUACUUACUUGUCCUGUUAAUCCAUUAUAUUUUUUGUUGCACAAAGUGGUAGAAGAUAAUUCCGAUGCAGAACUACCUCCAUCCUGACCCUUGCUUUGUUUUCUCUAAACCAGAAAUGACAUGUGUAGAAAUAGAAUAACCAAGGAUAUAAAGAAGCUUUUGGAUAUAGGCAAGCUUGGAGCUGCUGUUUCAAUGUCAUGCUUUAAUGGUUGUCUUUUGGAGCUGUUGUUUCUAUCUGUAAUCCUUUUAAGUCUGUUGGCUGUACCGGACUAUUUAAAGUCUGAACUACGCUGUGAUGGUUGAACUGAUGCUGGACUGUUAAGGGUUAUGUUGGAGGCAACUUUAUAACUAAUGUGUGCCUGUUAUGUUGGACAGAUGCAGUUUUAUUAAUCCCUAGAGCUUAUUUGCUGAAGUUUAUAUGAUCAAUCCUGAUGGUUGUUGUGCUGCUAUGAUUAGGCUUUGUUUUAUUUCGAAUUUUGUUCGAAUUUCGGCCAAAUUUCGGUCGAAUUUUGGUCAAUUUUUCAAAUUUUGAUUUUGCAAUUUCGCCCGAGAAUUUGCCGAAAAAUUUAAAAUUCCCGAAAUUCGUCCAUUUCGGCCAAGGACGAAAAAAAACACAAACCGAAAUUCAAAACACACCUCGCCUCGGCUCAUCUCACCGCGGCAAGGAUGCGACAUAUACGCAGUUUGCCAUGUCCAUCUCGGCCGCCAUGGACAGCAGCAAUGGGAGCAAGGCCAACCUCGCUCGGUGACGAACGCCUCCAGGCAGCGGAACCAUAAAAGCCACGGAUGAUCGUCCGGGGCGUCCGGAGGCAAGAACGUUGAAGCCCCGCUGUGCCUCCACCCAACCUCUCGCAACGGCUGUGACCUCCCAAUGGCUGUCCACCUCCAUGGGGCGAGCCGGAUAGGUUAGCCAGCAGUGAAAAUUGGCCACCUCCCGCCGCGCGCAUAGUCUGUUGCCGGCCAAGUGCGGCCCUAUCUGGAACGAAGGCAAAAAAAGAAAAAUCGUAAGAGGAUAGAAAGGCAUCAGGAAGAGCCGAGUAAGGCCAGUAGCGCAGACGGCUGGCUUGCGAAUUUUUUGGAUGGUGAACACCUUACUUCGGUCGUGACCUCCAUGAGCACCUUCCGUGUGCCGUCUCUCCUGUGUGCACCACCACCUCGGACGCACGGAAGGAGACGAUCGAGGGUUCUGGCAGGCACUGGCCGUCGGCGAGGUAGGGCGUAGACGGGAUUUGGGAGACGCUGGGAAGCAGCUGUGAGGUAGGAUGUCGAAGGGGAAGCCCUUUUAUAGGGCUAUACAUACCGGCAGUAUAGCGGUAGCAC